AUUGAACGCUGGCGGCAGGCUUAACACAUGCAAGUCGAGCGAGCGGCGGACGGGUGAGUAAUGUCUGGGAAACUGCCUGAUGGAGGGGGAUAACUACUGGAAAAGGUCGCUAAUACCGCAUACCCUCAGAUGUGCCCAGAUGGGAGUAGCUAGUAGGUGGGGUAAUGGCUCACCUAGGCGACGAUCCCUAGCUGGUCUGAGAGGAUGACCAGCCACACUGGAACUGAGACACGGUCCGGACUCCUACGGGAGGCAGCGUUGGGGAAUAUUGCACAAUGGGCGCAAGCCUGAUGCAGCCAUGCCGCGUGUGUGAAGAAGGCCUUCGGGUUGUAAAGCACUUUUAGCAGGGAGGCGUUACUCGCAGAAGAAGCACCGGCUAACUCCGUGCCAGCAGCCGCGGUAAUUC
rnacentral:rRNA from 1 species